GUUGGUUAUGGUGACAAAUAUCCAACAACCUGGCAAGGCAAGAUCGUGGGCUCAAUUUGUGCUCUGUCUGGCGUACUUACCAUUGCACUUCCGGUUCCAGUCAUCGUCUCCAAU